GGUUAAAGUCAUAUCACCCUGCAGCCCAAGACCGGUUACCCAUUGAAGCUAAGCAGGGCUGAGCCUGGUCAGUACUUGUAUGGGAGACCACAUGGGAAAACUAGGUUGCUGUUGGAA
rfam:Danio rerio chromosome 18, GRCz11 reference primary assembly.